UUUAAGGCCAGAAAAUGCAUAAUCAAAUGUGACAUAAUAGGACGCACUAAAACUGCACAUAACCACAUUUACUUUCAAAAUCUUGAUACACAAGCAUUAGGUACACGUAUGCUGUAGGAUUCUGGAACCUUUCGCAAUCAGAAAAAUACUUUGAGCAAUUCCCAAAGUUUAUUUUCUACUGUGUGGUUCUAUUAGUACUCAGGAACAUAAUCAUUUAUGUUGUCUUGAUUUACAGAGCAAUUAGACAGGUUAAUGUUAUUGUGAUUGGACAUACUAAGUCUUGAACAAAAUAAAUGCAGUUUAUAAUUGCAUAAGUAUUAAAUUGUAUAUUUCAAGGAAUUCUUUGGACCCAAGACAUAAAACACCAAUUCC